AUCCUAUGAUGGGGACAUUUUCUUAAUAGCGAUUUAAAUUGCUCCUUAGCCUCGUGUAAGUUUUCACCCUCAAUCUGCUAAAAAUUUGGGAUAUCGUGCCUUAGCU
rfam:Gossypium hirsutum cultivar TM-1 chromosome 16, whole genome shotgun sequence